rnacentral:rRNA from 1 species
AAUGAACGCUGGCGGCAGGCCUAACACAUGCAAGUCGAACGGAUCCUUCGGGAUUAGUGGCGGACGGGUGAGUAACGCGUGGGAACAUACCCUUUGGUACGGAAUAGCCUCGGGAAACUGGGAGUAAUACCGUAUGUGCUCGAAAGAGGAAAGAUUUAUCGCCAAAGGAUUGGCCCGCGUUGGAUUAGGUAGUUGGUGGGGUAAUGGCCUACCAAGCCGACGAUCCAUAGCUGGUUUGAGAGGAUGAUCAGCCACACUGGGACUGAGACACGGCCCAGGCUCCUACGGGAGGCAGCAGUGGGGAAUCUUAGACAAUGGGGGAAACCCUGAUCUAGCCAUGCCGCGUGAUCGAUGAAGGCCUUAGGGUUGUAAAGAUCUUUCAGAUGGGAAGAUAAUGACGGUACCAUCAGAAGAAGCCCCGGCUAACUCCGUGCCAGCAGCCGCGGUAAUACGGAGGGGGCUAGCGUUAUUCGGAAUUACUGGGCGUAAAGCGCACGUAGGCGGACUGAAAAGUCAGAGGUGAAAUCCCAGGGCUCAACCUUGGAACUGCCUUUGAAACUCUCAGUCUUGAGGUCGAGAGAGGUGAGUGGAAUUCCGAGUGUAGAGGUGAAAUUCGUAGAUAUUCGGAGGAACACC